rnacentral:rRNA from 1 species
UACGAAGGGGGCUAGCGUUGCUCGGAAUUACUGGGCGUAAAGCGCACGUAGGCGGUCUUUUAAGUCGGGGGUGAAAGCCCAGGGCUCAACCUUGGAACUGCCUUUGAUACUGGGCAUCUUGAGUAUGGGAGAGGUGAGUGGAACUCCGAGUGUAGAGGUGAAAUUCGUAGAUAUUCGGAAGAACACCAGUGGCGAAGGCGACUCACUGGCCCAUUACUGACGCUGAGGCGCGAAAGCGUGGGGAGCAAACAGG